AUGUCCCCGGUCCCCUCAGGGCCAGCCCAGCCAGGCAGAGAGGCAGCCGAGCUGGACUCCAGCACACAAAGGAGCAGGCCGGGAACAAUGGAGCCUCCCGCCCUGCCGCCAUGCCGGCCUCUGCCUCCGCCAGCCCCGGCGGUGGGAGCGGGCACCGGGGCACGGCCACACGGCUGCUGCCGCACGGGUCCCCUGUGCUGCUGUAAAAUCCCUGCAGGGGACACAAGACACCCACAGCCCCCCCCCACCAUCUUGUUCCUCAUCCGCUUUUCUCCCCCAGUUUCGGCAGCCCCUCGCCUGACACCCCCCAGACACGCUGGGAGCUGCGCGGGUGGGCGAGCACCCCGGGCUGGGCCGGGGGGGGGUCCCGGUGGGCAGGGGUUGUGUAAGGACAAGGCUCUGCCCCUGCCUCCCUCCCUGCCCGCUGCUCACUCACCCUUCUUCUUGAAGAAAGCCAGAAGCGAGGAGAGGUUCCUGCCCAUAAAAACCACCAUGGUGGCGGGGGAGAGGGUCUGGUCCCCGGGGAAGGGGGGCUCUGCCGCCCCCCGAGGAGGCUCAGUGUUGUGCCGAGGCUGCUGUCACCCGUGUGCCGGCGGGGCGGAUGCCGGGAGCCCCCCGCUCCCUCCCUCCGCCCUCAUCCGCACGGGCAGCAGCGGAGGAUGCUCGGCCAGGCGAAGACGCUCCGGCGCAGCUGCUUGCGAGCAGGGAGCAGCCGGAGCCGGGGACGGCUGCGCGGUGGCAGGAGGGGACAGUCCGGGAGGGGACAGACCGGGAGGGGACAGUCCCAGCUGCGCCCACCGCGCUCCUCCGCGGCAGAAGGAAAGAGGGGGCCCCUCCUCUGGCCUCCAGCUCGCUCCCCCGGCCCUCCCGCCUCCUCCCACGCACGGCACAGACCACAGGGAUCUGUUCUUCCAGGCUCGGGGCCAGCAUUUCCCCUACUCCUCCCUCUUGGACCCCUGGGAACCCCCCCCCCCCCCCCCCCCCCCCCCCCCCCCCCCCCCCCCCCCCCCCCCCCCCCCCCCCCCCCCCCCCCCCCCCCCCCCCCCCCCCCCCCCCCCCCCCCCCCCCCCCCCCCCCCCCCCCCAGUAUCCUGCUGGGUACAGCAAAGCUGCAAACCAGUUGCUCUCUUCCGCAACUGGAGGGUGGAACUGGGAGGUUCGUGCACCUUGGGCUAUGACACAGCAGUGUCACAUUCCCCAUCCCAGCCUGUCCCCAGCGCCCCUCCAGGACCCUGCCAGGAGAGCCCCAUUCCCAGCAGGGAACAUGAGCCAGCACAGGGCAAAGGGACAGGGCUACGUCACGGUCACAAGGGCUGGCAGCACUGGGGGAAAACCAGGUCUGGGACCAGUCUAA
rnacentral:lncRNA from 1 species